UAGCGGCAGGCUUAACACAUGCAAGUCGAGGGGUAUAAGUCUUCGGAUUUAGAGACCGGCGCACGGGUGCGUAACGCGUAUGCAAUCUACCUUUCACAGAGGGAUAGCCCAGAGAAAUUUGGAUUAAUACCUCAUAGUAUUAUGGAAUGGCAUCAUUUUAUAAUUAAAGUCACAACGGUGAAAGAUGAGCAUGCGUCCCAUUAGCUAGUUGGUAAGGUAACGGCUUACCAAGGCUACGAUGGGUAGGGGUCCUGAGAGGGAGAUCCCCCACACUGGUACUGAGACACGGACCAGACUCCUACGGGAGGCAGCAGUGAGGAAUAUUGGACAAUGGGCGCAAGCCUGAUCCAGCCAUGCCGCGUGCAGGAUGACGGUCCUAUGGAUUGUAAACUGCUUUUGCACAGGAAGAAACACUCCGACGUGUCGGAGCUUGACGGUACUGUGAGAAUAAGGAUCGGCUAACUCCGUGCCAGCAGCCGCGGUAAUACGGAGGAUCCAAGCGUUAUCCGGAAUCAUUGGGUUUAAAGGGUCCGUAGGCGGUCUAGUAAGUCAGUGGUGAAAGCCCAUCGCUCAACGGUGGAACGGCCAUUGAUACUGCUGGACUUGAAUUACUGGGAAGUAACUAGAAUAUGUAGUGUAGCGGUGAAAUGCUUAGAGAUUACAUGGAAUACCAAUUGCGAAGGCAGGUUACUACCAGUGGAUUGACGCUGAUGGACGAAAGCGUGGGUAGCGAACAGGAUUAGAUACCCCUGGUAGUCCAC
rnacentral:rRNA from 1 species